CCUACGGGAGGCAGCAGUGGGGAAUUUUGGACAAUGGGGGCAACCCUGAUCCAGCCAUUCCGCGUGAGUGAAGAAGGCCUUCGGGUUGUAAAGCUCUUUCGCAAGGGAAGAAAACUUAUGAUCGAAUAAAUCAUGAGGUUGACGGUACCUUGAUAAGAAGCACCGGCUAACUACGUGCCAGCAGCCGCGGUAAUACGUAGGGUGCGAGCGUUAAUCGGAAUUACUGGGCGUAAAGCGUGCGCAGGCGGUUUUGUAAGUCGGAUGUGAAAUCCCCGGGCUCAACCUGGGAACUGCGUUCGAAACUGCAAGGCUAGAGUGUGUCAGAGGGGGGUAGAAUUCCACGUGUAGCAGUGAAAUGCGUAGAGAUGUGGAGGAAUACCAAUGGCGAAGGCAGCCCCCUGGGAUAACACUGACGCUCAUGCACGAAAGCGUGGGGAGCAAACAGGAUUAGAUACCCUGGUAGUCCACGCCCUAAACGAUGUCAACUAGUUGUUGGUAGAGUAAAAUCUAUGAGUAACGUAGCUAACGCGUGAAGUUGACCGCCUGGGGAGUACGGUCGCAAGNUUAAACUUCAAAGGAAUUGACGG
rnacentral:rRNA from 1 species